CUAUACACCAUAAUCCCGCAUAACAUAGGUUGUCAAGCUGUAAAAUAGAUUUUAUAUAAAUAAAAAAAGAAUCCCAAGCGCCCAGAUUGAUUUUAUCUUACAGGGUAUUAACAUUAUUUUAACAAAUAAUUACUUUUGGUUUUUAGAUUAUUUUUACUUUCAAAAAAGGGGCGCGAUAAUGGGGACCAGGUUUGCCCUAGCAAUGAAAACCUUUUUAUGUCAGAUUGGGAAUCCCAAGCCAUUUGGGGUGGACAUACCUGGUGGGCAAAUCUGGUUUCGUACUUUAGAUACAUAGAUGAUCUAUAUGGGGAUACUCAGACGAUUCUCCAAAUGCUGUUAUUAAUCAUCUGAAUAACAAUAACAGGAAUUUUUUUAACAUGUGAGUACAGUAGCGGGUCUAUUCAUUUUUGAGAUUUACAUUUUUUUUUUUUUUUUUCAAUCUUUCUUUUAUUGAUGCAUUUGUUUAUGGUGGGACAGAAUAAAGAGAGGGUGAAAGGCAAUAAACAUACAAGGUAGGGACAUCAUAACAAAGUUCAACAUUUCUUAGAAAUGGCUGCUUCAUUUUAUAUUAAGUAAACAAACUUGUAACAUUCUUUGGUGAUGCGUCUGAACUCUCUAGUGUGUUAAUAAUUCAGUGUAUGCGUUAUCAAGGUGAGAUCAAAGUAGGCAUGUGUACUUCGAUAUUAUCUGUCUCAUCAUAUGUGAAGUUGCAUAAACAUAACGAUUAAUGAAACAAAAAGUAAUGGCUAAAUUGAGCCUGCUAUGCCUGAGCGUGUCUUAGAGCCAGCAUACACAGAAAUGAAAGUAUCUCAGGCUGAAUAUACAUGAGUGAAACAAACAAGGAAAACCGAACUGGUAGUAAGACUAGUUAGCUAUAUAUACUGCCACAGUCCCCGCCACCUCCCUCCCCCGUGGAGCUACUCCAGGUAUAGUGUCA